CAGCAGUGUGAAAUCACACUUUCAUUGUGUGUUCUCACUUCGGUGUGCGGGAACGUGCUUACUAGAGUGUGUGCGUGCGCGUGUGCGUGCGCACAGUUGAAGAACAAAAAAGGAAAGCUAGGCUUUCUUUGGAUAAACAAUCUGAGGCAGCAUCUCUUAUGCUAAUGUCUUAGCCUGCCCAUUCCUCAUUGCAUUUACAUUCUCUGUCCUCACGCACCUGAUGCAACAGACAGCACAGCUCCGCCAGCAGAAAGCCGAAUUACAGAGAGCUCCGCCCCGCCGACACACAACGCGUUGCCCACCAGCUCUUUAACCGAGCCUCCAGCCAUACCCAGGGGACGGCCUACCACACUUUCUGUUACAAUCAAGCCUCCUCCUUCGCCGUCCUCUUCGCAAGAGAAGCAGAGAGUUUACCCGACACCAGAAAAGGUCGCGCCUUCGGAAAACAUCCCCGAACACUCACAUCUGUCUCAUCUAGUCCCGAAGGAGUCCACACAUCACUCUGUUGUCGACCAUCACCACCACCACCACCACCACGCAGUGACAGAGGAGUCUGCUCUCCAUCCACUGACUCAAUUUAACCAUCAUACAAACAUGCCUGAAACUGGAGAAAAACACUCAGAGCUAAAGCAUAGUGAGAGAGGAGUCACUGGAGGACAUGCACAAGAGACUCACGGCCACAUUACUACACCUUUAUCAGGACAUGGGGAGGAGAAAGAACCUAAAGUUACAGACCCCCAUACAUCGGCGGGACACGUACAUGAGACUCAUGGCCAUAAAACGGUGGAACAUGAAGAAAGAAAAGUUUCCCACAUGGUUGAGCGACACGCACAGGAGCCGCAAGGCCACAAAACAACAACCUCAUUGGAACAUGGAGUAAAAAGGCAAGAGGAUGCACAUUCAGAAAGGAAAUCUGAAAGAACAGGUACAAGUGUUUGUAGCGGUAGAAGGUAGUCCUGCUAGA